UGUCGGACCCCGCAACCUGUGGUCAGAGGGGAUGGACGCUGUGCUCCCUCCCAGGGGAGGACCAGCUCCCUUCCACCCCACCUGCCCCCCUCCCUGGAACCACACCCCCAGGGCAGCCUUGCACACGUCUGUUGGCUCACACCUGCAGACCCUGCACCCAGGGCCCCACCUCCCGCCAGCCCUUGUGCACUCGCCCUUGACGUGGUGGCUGUGGUUUCAAGGCCUUAGAGGUGCAGAUUGGAGUCAGGGCAUCCUGUUCUCUGUGGCUGCAGCAGCAGGUGGGGGUGGGGGACAGGUUCCCCUGCAAACAGGCACACGCAAAGGCCCCUUCUCCCUGCCUUCUUACACACGCGAAUACACACAUGUGCACGCAGACAGAUGGACACCGGGUGGCCCCCGUAGGCUGGCAGCUCUUAGGCCCCAGGCACAGGAACCGAGCACCCAUCUGUAGCAGACCCACUGAGGGCAGGGAGCUGCUGGCUCCCUUCCCUGUGCCUGAGCUCCCACCUUCACAACUUCAUGCCCAGCACAUGGCCUGCCAACCUCAUCUCAGGUCUUUUCUUUGGGGGAAGUCUUGUUCUGCCGCCUUCUGUCCUAACCACAUCCCUGUGGGAGGGGUGGUGUAUUCAGCCCUCAGUGGGGUCCAGUUGUCCAGCCAGUCCUGGGAGCAUACUGAUCCCUGGCUCAGAACCCUGCCAUGGCUCCCCAAUGCCCGCCAGGUCCAACCCAAACCCCUGGUCCUGGGCCUCCCCUGCUCCAGGGAUCUCCACUUUGAGGAGAGGUGAGGGUGCCCUCUGGAGCCAGGCAUCCUGGUUUGAAUGCCAGUUCUGUGUGACCUCAGGCAAGUCGCUUAACCUCGCUGUGCCCCAGCGUCCUGCCUCACAGAGCUGUUGUGAGAAUUACAUAGGUUUAUAUAUGCAAAGCAUUUAGCACAGCACCUGCUCUGCAAGAAAGUUGUCAAUAAAUGAUAGCUGGAAAGGAUGUCUGUUUCCUGCCAGAAAGGACCUGAGAAAUGUCUUCCAAUGGGGCUUGUGGCUCAGCUCUCAGCUCUGGCCUUUCAGACUGAGCCAGCAGCUUCCAGGCCACCUGGGAGCUGGCUGGAGACUCAGAGUGCCAGGCCCCCUGGGGGUCCUAAAGCAGCAGGUGGGGAGAGGGGCCUGUACACUGUGGCCUGUAGCCAUUUGUGGGGUGGGAGUCCCCUAAGCCCCCAUCCCAGCCUCAGACUGGUCCACCACCUGCAUCCUCUGUCUUCUGGCCUUGCCAAGGCCCCUCUGCCUUGCAAGGCUCCUGCAGGAAGAAUGCCUGUCAACUCUGCCACCUCAGUGCCCACAGCUCCUAUUUUCCUAGAGCCUCAGUUCCUCAAGAAGAAAGGGAAUAAAAACACCCACAUCCAGGGAGGUCAGCAUUGCCCUCUCCCUGAAUGAAAGGAGCACCUCUUCAUCUCACCCCAUGGGCUCACCUCUCCCAGGUGUGACCCUAGAGUCUAUUAAACACCUGUUAUAUACCAGGUGGUGACACAUCCACAAGCUCAUUUAAUCCUUCACAAUACCCAGAGGAAGGCAUUUUACAGAUAAGGAGACCACCUCAGAGAGGUUCAGUAACCUGCCUGAGGUUGCACAGCUUGGAGGUGGCCCAGCUGGCCUUCCAACGCAGGCCCCCCCAACAUGGAGUUCCUCCCGCCACCUGUGGGCAGGUGGAUUCAUGGUGGAGGUGCCCUCAGGGAGCCGGAGCAGCCGGCCCUCUUGUUUGUCAAGGAGGAAAUGGACACCCAGCACUGGGAGUGAGUGCCCCAGGCCAUGCCACAGGCUCCUGGCAGAACCAGGCAGGAUUAGAGAACUUUCUUUUGGCACUGCCUGCCUGGUAGGAGGGGCUCUGCCGGGAAGUCUCCUUCCUUUACUGCCUCUGGGUCUCUGCUCAGAGGCUACCUCCACAGAGAGAAGCUUUUCAGGGCAGUUCCAGCAGAAGGAGAGCCCUGUCACCCUCAUCUCCUGGCCCCGCUUUAUUUUCUUUCAUGGCACUUAUACUGUCACUUGCAGUUUUAUGUGUCCAGUGAUUUGUUUAUUGUCUCCCGCCUUCCCUGCGACUAGAAUGUGAGCAC
ensembl:lncRNA